UGGUACUCCCUCACGAAACCACUCUAAC
rnacentral:piRNA from 1 species